ensembl:lncRNA
CUUGGACCAGGAGAGACCAAAACCCAUUUAAACCCACACUAUGUUGUGGAUGGUUGCCAAGGUGUUAUGAGUUCUUUUUAGAAUGCAAAAGUGUACCAAUGUACAUUAGUAGUGAUUCAUAUAUCAGUAGUUUCAUGAAUGUUUAGAUCAGAGUUGAAUGUGUCCAGAUUGAAUAUGUUAUCUGUGAAAGCUGAUGAUGUAUCACAGGUCUUUCCCCUUCACUGAAGCACUAAGCAAUGACGUCAGGGCAGGGAUGGCAUCAGAUGGACGCUGGUGUCAGGGACAAAUGCUUGCUGUUGUUCAGCAGGGGGAGGGGUCAGGACACACCAUUACAUCAUCAACCAGCAGCAGCAGCAGCAACAACAACAACAACAUAGGCCGUGGUAUUGAUGGCAGACACACAAACCCCUGCUCACAGCCAGCCAGCUCCACUGACAACACUAGGGUUAACAUUGCACUAAGCUACAUUACGGACAGAGCUUCCUGUGAUGUGGCCAAUUCAAUUUAAAUUCAAUUGCUGUAUAUUCAAGAUAGUGGGGAUUUCAGGUAAUUCCUGCAUUGGUGUAAACAGGAAUUAGCCUGUGUUGCUCUGUCCAAGCUGUGUGGAAGCAUCAAUCAGCUUAAAUGACCAGCCUUGCCAAAAAUAAAAAUACCACUAUCACUGUUAUUUUUCUCCUGGUCAUGUUUUUAAGGUGCCACAUCAUCAUAGAUUAAAGGUAUGACCUUCUUUCUUAUGCAGAACAUAAAAAGAAGAUAUUUUGAAGAUUGCUGGGGUCCAAACAAAAUUGGACCCAAAUAACUUUCAUUGUAUGAACCAAACAAAAAACACUUUUAUUGUGUUUCACAGAAGAAAGUCAUACAGGUUUGGCACAACAUGAAGGUGAUUAAAUGGUGGCUGAAUUUUCUGAGUCACAUCUUACAAUAUUGACCCUAUUGUUGAGCUGAAUUGAUUCAACACUGAACUGAGUCGAAAUGAAUAAUGAUACUGCUGACUUUUGUAGAACUGCUUAUAGUGGAAUUGAACUCAAAUUGAUGAACUUGAUCUUGAAUUCUCUUGAGCUAAAUCAUGAAACUGUUGUCUUUAAGAGCUGCUUUAUGGCACAGUCUGAAUCUCCAUAGUCAAGUCUCCAUAAUCGAUUCUGCUAUUUUCCUGCUUGUCUUUGUGAAUCUGCUUUAACAAUCCUAAUUGUAAAAGGACUACAGAAAUAAAGAUGAAUUGACUUUUAAUUUUGGGAUGUACUAUCCCUUUCAAGAAAACAGUCAAAUUAUUUCAAGACCUAAAUUUCAUCUUCCAAUCUCUAUUUUAUAUUGAUGUGCAGAAGAUCUUCAAGUAAAUGUAGAAGCACAGCUCAAAUCUCCCUGUCAUGAUUGUGAGCUUAGUGUGAUAAGAUGCAACCAUUCUGACAUGAAUUAUAUUGAAACAUUAAUAUUUCAUUAGACAAAAACAGCUUGAUCUAGCAUUUUAAACCGCUGGGGAUAUUUUUAAAUGUGACCAUACUUGUUUCAUCAUUUGAUGGAUAGUAUUUUUGCCUUGUUUAUUAGUAGGCCUGUCUCUAAAUGCAGAUGGGUUCACCAGCAGGCUGUGGGUGUGUUGUGAUGACCUCAAAAUCAAUAUUUGCAUCAGACUUGUUGACUUCUUUGUUAUGCAGUCAAAUGACAACAGAAAUGCACAUCUAUAUGUUCUUCCACCAUUUAUUAGUUCACCAAAUACAGUGAAAAUGGUAUUAUAAUAUGCAAUGAUUCAUUCUUAGAAUGUCAUGACAUUUUUUGUUGCUUUUUUGCUUAAUAAAACGAUGUUCCGUUAUUGAAAAGUAUUAAGGUUUCAUGCACAACAAACCAUAGUCAGUUUCUUUAGAAUAAUGGUACAAAACAAAGCAAAAAAAUUCAAACAAAAUCAACAGAAGAAACGUAAUGUCCAAAAACCUGUCAAAUAACAAGUUAUCUUAAGAUAUUCGUAAAAAGUGCAGUAGAUUUCUAAUAUCGCCAUUUUUCUAACAAAUUCAUUAACAAUGCUCAAGUCACAGUUUACGAUUUCCAUAACAGUAGUUGAACAUGGAUGUGUGUGUUCAAAAAAGCAGAGAAGCAUUCAUUCAUCAAGGUUUUUAAAAAAAAAAAAACAUUCCAACCCAACUGAAUUAUACUGUUGUCCCCAUCUAAAGAUUUUUCUCUGAAAUAUAAACAUCAUUGUUGAUGAAUCUUUAAGACGACAUACUAGAAUAUCAUUUUAAAUAACAAAUAUUUAGAUAUAAAAAUACAAAUAUGACUUUUUUUAAAAAGAAGCGUGCCAGGGUAAGAUUCAUGGUGGCACCUCUGUUGGCACCAGAGUGAAAGUUCAUGCAAAGAGAUGGACACGACAAAAGAAAUGUGAGGAGCUGAUGAAAAAAAAAAAAAUCAAAAACUUAGGCUUGGAAGAAAUCGAGAUGCAUUCAUGUUGGGUUAAUUACAAGAGUUGGUAAUGCACAAUGUUCCUCUGUGCUUGUACUGAUGAUGUGAAUCCGUGGCGCAGGUGCGCAAAUCAGCUGCAGUGAAGAGCAAAACAAUAGAUCACCAAACGACGCUUUAAAGACUACACGCUUCAACACCUGUGGGCAUGUGUAUGAUAAUCUCUGAAAAAGAAUAUGACGCAAAAUAGCGAGAGAAAAUAUUCACAUUGCAUCAUCCGUAUAUAUAGUUCAUUUAUCAUUAUGGGAGCUUAAUGUCUUUGUGUGUGUUAAAUCUAAAAUGUCUCUAAAAGCAGCAGUCGGAUUGAAGUCGACGCUCAAGGCAGAUCCAUGUGUGCGUGUGCGUGUGUGUGUUUGUGUGUUAAGGGGUAGGUCUUCGAGCUAAGAUACUGUACAUCUAUAGUAACAGCGUAAGAUGCGGUUCAGUCUUCGGUUGAACUUUGUUUUGUUUACUGCGCAUUUGGAAGAUGAUGGUCGUGGAAUAAUAAUGGCAAAUCAAUCCAUCCUUAUUCACAGAGCCACAGCCUCAACAUCUCCGACAUCUUCCUCAAAGCUUCCAUUCGGGUUGUCGUUUAUAUUGGAGAAUUGCCAGCAAACCCCAAAGGAAAUUCCGUCUCUCCCUUCUUUAAUUCUCCUUUUCCCCUUUUUAGUUUAGUCUCCCCGUGGUUCGAGCGUCGUGCCACCGUCUCUCCAUCUCUUUGCAAUCUUCUUCACAUGCACAACCGACAAGUGCUUCGAAUCGGUGAUAAAAAUUGAAAUGUCUGCCAGGCAUCGCGCGGGUUUACACGCCCGGUGAUGAUUUGUCGGUCAUGCCUUUUAGCACCUCAUCUAUUCGGUCGUCCUCGAUGACCACUGGAAAGAAGAAGACAAGACAGCUGAGGUCAAGACUUCGGCAAUCUACCAUGUGUGGUCUGUGCGCUUUGAAACUGCGCAACAAGACGCAACACACCACAAACGCAUUCAAAUGAUCAAAAUGCACAUUAAAUGCGUAACAAUAUCACCAUCAAGGCCAUUCCUCAGUCGGGUUGGAUGAAAUAGCCUAUUAUUGAUAUAUUGAGGAAGACCGGUGACCGAGGAAAUUUUUACAAAUGUCAAACUGUCAUAAGGUCAAAAUAUUCUCCAAUCGUUAAAAUUGCAUUUAAAUGGAUAAAUCACUUGAAAAUUAAAAUUCCGACUUUUACUCGUCUUUACGUAGGCCUAUUUCCAAAACCAUAUGGCUUUCUUUUAUGAAAUGUUAUGAACUGACAGGCUCGGUCACCAUCACUUUUAUUGCUUUUUUAUUUUUAUUUUUUCGUGCAAUGAAAGUGAACGGUGACCGAGGCUGUCAUUCUCCAUAAAUCUCCUUGUGUGUUGCACAGAAGAAAAGGUGAGUGAAAACUAUAGUCUCUAUUCCUUUAACUUCAGUAAGUUAUCUUGAAUCAGGAAAACAUUCUCACCUCUCUUCGCUCUGCCGAUCUGUCCAAGUUUUGGAGGUCUUUUCGCCUGCGACGCUCCGAAGAACGAGUUGGUGUCCUGCAGCCCGCAGCUGAAGGACAUCUGACUGACAUCGUUGUCCGCUCCGUAUCCGCUCAUUUUCCCCUCUCCGUACGGCAGAACCUCGGACAUGACUGUUGAAGGACGGGCUCGCGACUCAGAAGGCGCUAAUGAACUGAUAUAAAUAGGCAGCUACGGUGGAUGUGGCAACUAUCCCCGCAAAACAAGUGCACUUAUGUUUUUUGUUGUUGUUGUUUUUGCGUAGAUAUCCCCGCGCGUAAAUGUCAGACCCCUCGCACCGCCAACUUCCAAAUGGAUUGGAGUGCUCGGUGCAGAAUGAGAGAGCGAGCGCGAGCGAGAGAGAGAGUGCGCGGCUGAGUGUACGACUACAUCAGCGGUCGGGUUAGUCUGCUGUAAGAUACGGGAGAACCCGCGAUCAUAAAGGAAACCCGGGCGGAACAGUGAAGUCAUCCAUCCGGGCGUGUGCGUUUAGGAGAGAGAGAGAGCUAGAGAGAAAAAAAAAAGAUGGGGACUCCAAGAGGUGCAAGGGUGGCCCCAUCAGGCGAAAGCUGAAAACGGCGAGAAGAAACACUGACCGGC